rnacentral:misc_RNA from 1 species
CAGGCCUCCCUCUGCUUGGUUCCAGUCGUGGGCAUGAGUGAGGGGUGAUGCUUGAUGGCUUUGAUGCCAUCGGUGGGAAUGUGUUUAAGCAUCGGCCUUCCCUCAUGCCCACGAUGGUCUACAGUCUUGGGUAUGAGUCAGUGACGAUGCUUGUUUGUUUUGAUGCUUGCGUUGGAACUUGCUUGAGCAACCGACCUGACGAAGUACCCAUGAAUGWCGCGCGCCGGUGUUGAGACUUGCUUAAGCAACCGACCUGACGAAGUACCCAUGAAUGUCGCCCGGGUGUGAGAGCUUCACGUAGUAGGGAUGUGUCCCUGCGCCCAACGACAUUUUUUGUCGGGAUCGUGGCAAGUCUGCGAUCCAGGGGGUGAUGUUGAGAGCCGGAAGGCAAGGGGGUGCAAACACCAGUCGGCCUUUGUCCCGAUUGCUGAGUGUUAUGUGCUUGAUGUCCAAGGCUUGAUGCUGAUCCUCCAAGUGGGGCUUGUCCCUGCACCAAUGGCUAUUGCCAGGAUCAUGGCGUUUGCUAUGAUCGAAAAAAUGAGGGGGUGAUGUUGAGAGCCGGAAGGCAAGUGGGUGCAAACACCAGUCGGCCUUUGUCCCGAUUGCUGAGUGUUAUGUGCUUGACGUCCAAGGCUUGAUGUUGAUCCUCCAAGUGGGGCUUUUUUGUUCCUGCGGUAACGACUUUGUUGGGAUCAUUGUGAUCAAGUUUGGUUGGUUUCGUAUUGUGGUGGGUUUUUUCGAAGCUUCUAUCGUUGUUUUACGCAUCGUGCGGUGCAUCUUGGGGGCUGUUUUGGCUUUUGGUUGCUUGCUUGGGCUUUAUGCUAGGCGGGUGGCUAAU